rnacentral:rRNA from 1 species
UCGGGAAUUUUGGGCAAUGGGCGAAAGCCUGACCCAGCAACGCCGCGUGAGGGAUGAAGUAUUUCGGUAUGUAAACCUCGAAAGAAUGGGAAGAAUAAAUGACGGUACCAUUUAUAAGCUCCGGCUAACUACGUGCCAGCAGCCGCGGUAAUACGUAGGGAGCAAGCGGUGUUCGGAUUUACUGGGCGUAAAGGGCGCGUAGGCGGCGCGGUAAGUCACUUGUGAAAUCUCUGAGCUUAACUCAGAACGGCCAAGUGAUACUGCUGUGCUAGAGUGCGGAAGAGGCAACCGGAAUUCUUGGUGUAGCGGUGAAAUGCGUAGAUAUCAAGAGGAACACCUGAGGCGAAGGCGGGUUGCUGGGCCGACACUGACGCUGAUGCGCGAAAGCCAGG